GUUGUCCAAAAAAUGUCUCACGAAACCUAAUGCAAGCCUAUCCAUAUACAUGAGAACAAAAGAUGUUUACAAAGUUCUUACAGAUAGAUUAACACGUGAAAUCUGAACACAAACCACUACCACACAGGAAUUUGGAUUGGUCAAUACUGCGGUAAAAUAACAUGAGAUUAUUUUACGCAGUGUAUUCAAAAACCAAAUUUCAACAUGUCGAGUCACCAACGGCCACAAAGUUGAAAAGGUUCUGAGGUUGUUUGCGCCGAUUCCACAACCGAUAAUCCUAUUUUACUAUCGCGAUGUUCGAAGUCAGUUGUUCACAGGCACUUCCGUGGGUACCCUUAGGGCCGGACAGCACAAUUCCCCAGAAGACGCCCCAGCCUCCAAUAUCAGCGGAAAUGCUUAUAAGAGGAAAUUGAUGACUACGAAAGUUUCUGUUGAUUGCUUUGCUCUUCAACCCGCGUCUAAUACUGCUGAUAAGUGUGCAAAAGGGAACCUGAAUGCCGCCGUCAUCGAGAUGCUGUUUUCCGCAAGGAUGUUACACUUACUGGCCACGGUUUCCAUACUGCUGGAACUGGCACACAGUACCGAACACGGAAGCCACCAAAUCGGUGAACACGGUCAAAAUCUUUUGGAAACCCUUCCAGCAACAUAGUGGCCUACGGCGGUGGAAGUGGCCUUAAGAAAACCAACCUGGAUAUGUUUAUCACGGAAGCCCUGAUGCCGCUGAUCCUGAUAAUUUUUGGUGGCCACUAGGAAGUGAUCGAGGAACAACCGCUUAACUAUAGUUAUAUAUCAUUUACUAAAAUAAAAUAUAAAAUGUUUUAAUUUCCAAUA